rnacentral:rRNA from 1 species
GACGAACGCUGGCGGCGUGCCUAAUACAUGCAAGUUGAGCGAAGCAUAGGGCUUAAGUCUUCGGAUGCGAGGCCUAUGACUUAGCGGCGAACGGGUGAGUAACGCGUGGGUAACCUGCCCUCUAGACUGGGAUAACAGCUCGAAAGGGCUGCUAAUACCGGAUAAGAUUACCGUACCGCCUGGUAUGGUAAUGAAAGUGCUUAGCGCUAGAGGAUGGACCCGCGUCCCAUUAGCUAGUUGGUGAGGUAACGGCUCACCAAGGCGACGAUGGGUAGCCGGCCUGAGAGGGUGACCGGCCACACUGGGACUGAGACACGGCCCAGACUCCUACGGGAGGCAGCAGUAGGGAAUCUUGCGCAAUGGGGGGAACCCUGACGCAGCGACGCCGCGUGAGCGACGAAGGCCUUCGGGUCGUAAAGCUCUGUCCUAUGGGAAGAUAGAGACGGUACCAUAGGAGGAAGCCCCGGCUAACUACGUG